rnacentral:rRNA from 1 species
AUUGAACGCUGGCGGCAGGCCUAACACAUGCAAGUCGAGCGGGGUUUUCGGACCUAGCGGCGGACGGGUGAGUAAUGCGUAGGAAGCUGCCCGAUAGAGGGGGAUACCGGUUGGAAACGACUGUUAAUACCGCAUAAUGUCUACGGACCAAAGUGUGGGACCUUCGGGCCACAUGCUAUCGGAUGCGCCUACGUGGGAUU